CACCUGUGUGUUCUAAAAGUGAAAGAAUAUUUUAAUAUUAAUUACCUGUGUCUGACACCAGUGGUGGGCCUGUGAAACUUGGAGACCGCAUUGACGGAGUUCCGGACUCGUUCCCAGGCUGCUGACUUCUCAGAUGCUGGCACGGAUUGGCAGAAGAGUGUCACUUUUUCUUUUGAUACUGCAGCAACCAAGGCAGCAUUCUCCUCUUUGGCUAUUUAAAGGCAUUGGCAGGACACCAGAACCUGCAUACAAGUCUGCUGGCAGUUGAUUUGUGUGAAACUUCGAGACAAGGCCAAGGAGUGGGCCAUAAACCGUGAUGAUCGUGCAAGUUGAGUAUGUGAUCAAUUUGUUUUUAUUUCAAGGUGGUAGCUCCAAGGAAUCAACUCUAUGGGAUUCAAAUUACACAAACCACAGGGGCAUGCCACGUGUGAGAGAAAUACAUCAACAAAACCAGAGCGUGCCACAUAGCGUGGUUGAACAAUGCUAUGCUGAAAAUCACUGGACGCAUGCCUCCACAAACCAAAGAAAGGCAUUUUCUUUUAUUGCAAAGACAAUGACACGCAAGAAGAGAGAUGUUAAUACAUAGUAAUUUUACGCCUAUUGACUGAUUAAAAAUGUGUAACUCAAGUUGCAGGUAUUCCCGGAGGGGAAAAAAAAA